AUGUCCGUGGACAGAUGCUUGUUUGUCUCAUCUUCAGGCGGUGAGGAUGCACCGAAUCGGAGCCAGCAUUCGGGGCAUUAGGUCGGCGGGAAGGCUUCAUAAACGUCCUGUGUCGGGCUAAAAGACCAAGCAGGAGGCUGCCGUCCCGGGAGUACAUCGGGCGGCAGCUUCGGGGCUUUUGCCAGUGAAGACCCGGGUUAACGGCCGCCAUCUUUGCAGGAGCAACGAGCAGCAAUGCGCAUGCGCGGCCAUCCCUGUCUCUGUCAGGAGGAGGAGAGGAUAUUGUGAAUUUCUAUCCUGGACUGACAGGGAUGGGAUUUGGAAAUAGAAGAGGAGGAUUUGCAUUCAGGAAACUCAAACCAAACCUCACAUCUGACAGAGCCAAUCAGUUCAUCGAGAUCUAAAGAUUUGUACAUCUGAAGGGUUUUAAUUGACUGUCUCGGCUGGAAACUGGCGAGAGGCCGUUCACUAGCUCCUCCUGUGUGAAGGGAUUGAUGUACCUGGCAAACAUGUUGACACAACAGUGAGCUCACAACACUGAGAAUUCAUUCGUGCUCCGUGUGUGGGAAGAAAUUCAUGUGUUCAUCCAACCUGCUGGCACACCAGCUCAAUCACUUUGAAGAGAAGCCCUUUCAAUACUCUUGAUUCUGGGAAAAUCUUUGAAACCUCCGAUGAACUGGUCCAACAUCAGUGAGUUCCCACUGACGAGAGACCGUUCAGCUGCUCCUACUGCGGGGAGUCGUUCAGCGAGUCGGUGCAUCUCGCUGAGCACCAGUGAGUUCACACCAAGGACAGGCCGUUCAGCUGCUCCCAGUGUGGGAAGAGAUUCACUCAGUCCUCCCAAUACACUGAGCACCAAUUGGUUCACUCAGAAAAGAGACCUGUUAAAUGCUCAGAAUGUGAAAAGAUCUUUAAAAGAUGCAGGGAACUGCUGAGACACCAGCGCACUGACACCAGCGAGAGGCCAUUCACUUGCACCGUGUGUGGCAAGAGCCUCACCCAUUCAGUCCACCUUCUGAAGCAUGAGGGUUUUCACACUGGGGAGAAACCCUUCAUCUGCUCUGUAUGUGGGAAUGGAUUCACUCGGUCAUCCAACCUCCUGGCACACCAACGGGUUCACACCGGGGAGAGGCCGUUCACAUGCUCUGAGUGUGGGAUGACAUUUACACACUCAUUCCACCUUCUGACACACCAGCGAGGUCAUGCUGGGGAGAGGCUGUUCCCCUGCUCUGAGUGGGACAAGGGAGUUUCUGAAUCCUCCCAAUACACUGAACACCAAUGUGUUCACGUUGAUAAGAGAACUUUUAAAUGUUCUGAAUGUGAGAAGACCUUUACAAGAAGCAGUGACCUGCUGAGACACCAGCACAUUCACAUCGGGGAGAGGCCCUCUCCCUGCUCCGAGUGUGGGAAGAGGUUUGUUCAUACAUCUGAUCUGGUGAAACACCAGCGAAUUCACACAGGGGAGAGACCGUUCACCUGCUCUGAGUGUGGGAAGGGAUUCACCCAGUCAGCCAACCUGUGGAUACACCAACAAGUUCACAGUAGGGAGAGACCGUUUCUCUGCUCUGAGUGUGGGAAGAGAUUCACUCAGUUAACCAACCUGCUGAGACACCAGCGAGUUCACACUGAGGAGAAACCUUUUAAAUGCCCAGACUGUGGGAAGUGCUAUAAAACGGCCGGAGAAUUGAUGGACCAUCAACGUGUUCACACUGAGAAGAGACCGUUCAGGUGCUCUCACUGCAGGACUGGGUUUAGGAAAUCAUCUCAACUCACUUUACACCAGUGAACUGACACUGGGGAGAGGCCAUUCAUCUGCUCCAACUGUGGGAAGGGAUUUGCUCACUCGGGCAACCCGCUGAAACACCAGCGAAUUCACACUGGGGAGAAGCCAUUCACCUGCACCAAGUGUGGGAAGGGAUUUACUUGUUCACACCACCUGCUGAGACACCAGUGAGUUCACAGGUCACCGGCAAAGUUGUUGGAUUUUCUUGUUUUUGCUUCUGAUAAUCACAUCCAGGACUGAACCUUUUCUUCUUUCUAACUCAAGAUUAUUUCAGUCCUCAUAGCUUCAGUUACUCUCAUGGACAAGUCCCAGCUCCCCAUACCUUCCAGGCUGUCUCUCCUAGCCUUGGGAUCCAGGGAAGACAUUGGUAACACACUCAGGAUCAAUAAACACAAAACCCAGUCUGUUAAUCACUUUCAGCUCCUGGACUUAGUAUGUGCCCCCAGCAUCUCUUUUGCCUUUGAUGUGUGAAUAUCACAUCAUGGCUGUAAACCUGGCUUAAAUUGAAAUCCACUCAGUAAAUGUAUUUAAUGAAACACUGUAGCUGAUGAGACAAUACUAAGGUGCCAGUGUGCAACUGCACUGCUGUGUUACCUCUGGCUUAGGGGGUAACACUCUCACCUCUCAACCAGAAGGUUGUGGGUUCAAGUCCCACUGUACAACAACUGAGGUUGACUCUCCAGUGCAGUACUGAGGGAGUGCUUCACUGUCAGAGGUGCUGUCUUUCAACUGAGAAUAUUACACCAAGGCCCCGCCUAGCUGCUUGGGUGGAUGUAAAAGAUCCACUGGCCUCUAAUUUUAAGAAGAACAGGGGGGUUAUUCCUUAUGUCCUGGCCAAUAUUUAUCCCUCAGCCAAUGUCACAGACAUAGAUCUGGUCAUUAUCAUAUUGCAGUGUAUGGGAGCUUGCUGUGCACAAAUUGAUUGUGAUAUGUUUCCUAAAUUACAACAGUGAUUGUGCUUCAAAAGGACUUCCCUGAUGUAAAGCACUUUGGGACACCCUGAGGUGAUGAAAGGUGCUAUAUGAAUGCAUGUUUUUCUUUUCUCUGUGUUUUGCCUGUAAUGGAAAAUGACUGAACUUUUGUUCCAGUAGACCCUUUGCUGUUAUAAAAUGUGGGUGAAUAUUAAUGAGCCUCACAUUCUUCCUCAUGUCUGCUGCCAUUGUGUAGAAAGGGAAUUUGUAAAGAGCUGGUCUUUGUAUAGAGAUGUGAACCAAGGAAACUGUAUCUGUGUGUGAUAGUGACACGGGCUUGUGCUCACACUCAGAACAAUGCACAGAUAUCCUUGUGGUUAUGGUUUGAGCAGAGUCAGAUCACUGAUGUAGUGAACAAUUUAAAUAUAAAUAUCUCCACUGUGGCCACAGCUUGUCAGAUCAGAACUGGGGAGAAGGGGCAAAUGAAGUUGAACACACAUAAAUGUGAGGUAGUAGAUUUUAGUCAGAAGAAUAAGGAGGUCACUUAUUACUUGGAAGAUGUGAGUCUGGGUGGGAUAGAGGAACAAUUAGAUCGAGUGUAAAUGCGUCAAUCAGAGCAAGGCCAUAAAAAGAGCAAAUUGAGCAUGAGGUUUUAUUUCACGAGGAAUGGAAUUGGAAAGUGGGGAAGUUCUGCUAAAGCUGUCUGGAGCCUUGGUCAGACCACACUGAGAGUAAUGAGUACAGCUCUGGUCACCAUUUUAUAAAAAGAAUGGAGACACACUGGAGAGGGAGCAGAGAUGACUUACAAGGUUGAUACCAGAAAUACAUACAAAGAAAAGAUUGAUGGACUGGGUCUCUUGUCUCUUGAAAAAAGGUUGAAAGGUGACCUGAUAGAGGUCUUUAAAAUUGUGAAAGAUUUAGAGAGAGGGGACACAGAGAAUGUUUUCUCUCACGGGAAAGAGAAUAACCAGAGGUCUUCAAUAGAAGAUAGUGUAAAAUUAUUAACACUGAACUCUGUUAAAACCCCUUUUGUGGUAUAGUGAGGAAGGAAAAUGCAGAAAUAGGGCUUAAUGUAAAUUAAUGCCAAGUGAGAACGAUUCUGGGAAAUAAUGACAAUCUUUAAAACACUUACUGCAGCUAAAAGCUAAAGUUCUUGAAGAUUGUUUGUGUGAGCCAAAGGCAGGAAUGUAGGGGCCUCUCUGAGAUAAAUGGCAACAAAAGAUAACAGCCUGCAGAUACGAGAAAAUAGAACCACGGUGAAUACACGGAACAUUACAUGAUUAAAUAAGGCUAACAUUGCUGUCAUGAACUGUGAAAAAGAUAAACUUAGGUGAUUAAUUAAGGCUAACAUUGCUGACAUGAAAGAAACCUGAUUGGCUAAGAGAAGCAAUUUCAGGGCAUUUCACCACAGGGAUGAGCAUUGAUUGGGAAGAGGCAGAGGUUAAUUGGAGAAGUGGCAACAUAAAAGAGAUUCUCCUGAGCAAGGCCAUACAGAGGAGAAGAAGCAGAGACCAGCAUCUAAGAGAGAGAAACCGAGGAGAAGAAACUGAUUUGAUACAAGUAGAAUAAGCCACGUUAAACUGUAAAUCGCUGCCAGAGUUUGUCACUGUUGUUUACAUGAAACUUGGUAAACUUGUCCUGACUUUGUCUCAAUAAAGUUGUUUCACAACUCAACUUUGUGACCAUGUCUGUUCCUGAUGGCAAAAACAGAAUUAAAACCUCCCAAAACUA